rnacentral:rRNA from 1 species
UUGCCAAUUUUGAUCGGGUCGCUCGCCUGAAUUGCGCGGGACGAGUCGAUAAAAGUCGUUGAAUGGCCAGAUAAAUUUGCUGAUCGCACGGUCUUAGUACUGGCGACGAAUCUUUGAAACGACUUGCCUAUCAACUGUCGAUGGCAGGCUACGUGCCUACCAUGGUGACAACGGUUAACGGGGAAUCAGGGUUCGAUUCCGGAGAGAGAGCCUGAGAGACGGCUACCACAUCCAAGGAAGGCAGCAGGCACGCAAAUUACCCACUCCCAGAAUGGGGAGGUAGUGACGAUAAAUAACGGAACGUAUCUCGACGAGACGCGUUACCGGAACGACUGAGCCGUAUACAAGCUCGGCGAAAGCUAUUGGAGGGCAAGUCUGGUGCCAGCAGCCGCGGUAAUUCCAGCUCCAAUAGCGUAUAUUAAACUUGCUGCGGUUGAACCGCUCGUAGUUGGAUUGUGAACCGUGACCACGGUCCUCUAAGUGAAGAGGAAUGGCUUUGCCGCCGUUGGUCGUGAUCAAUGAUGUCAUAGUUGUCCGGAUGCUCUUCAUCGGGUGUCUUGGACGGCAUGAAUGUUUACUUUGAGAAAAUAAGAGCGCCCAAAGCAGGCUGCUAUAUGCUUGAA